CGUGGUGAACAGGGGCCGGCUCGGGGCUGGGGAGUUCACGGCCCCAGGGAAAUAAACCCGCGGCGCUGAGAGGAAGGAGGGAUCCCCCCGGUGUUCUGCGCCGAGGGGCCCUGCAGGGAGUGUUUUGGGGAGCUCUCACACCGUGCGAGGAGUUAGGUUUGGAACACAGCCCAGCUGAGAAAUACUUCCCUUUGUUCUCUGUGACCUCUUGACCUGCAAACUGGGAGCAAAUACACUACAGGUGAGGAUGGAGUUGCUGGGUGCUGGGCUGUGCACCUCACUACUCUCAGAUGCUUCCACUGCUGAAUU
rnacentral:lncRNA from 1 species